CAACUUACCUGCCUCCCAAAGGCAUCCAAGCCAACAGUGAUUCAUCCUGGUGUCCUGGUGUGUCUGAGGAGGAAACCUCAGUAAACAGGACAAAUCUUAAAUCAAUCUAGACCAAUGUUGCAAGUACCCUG
rnacentral:sRNA from 1 species